rfam:Oryza sativa Japonica Group DNA, chromosome 8, cultivar: Nipponbare, complete sequence.
AAUAAGCGUAGUUGUGGGUUUUAGUGCCCAACUUUGACCGUCCGUCUUAUUUGAAAAUUUUUUUAUUACUAUUUUUAUUGUUAUUAGAUGAUAAAAUAUAAAUAUUACUUCAUGCGUGACUUAAUUUUUAAAAAAAUUUCAUAAAAUUUUUAAAUAAGACGGACGGUUAAACGUUGGACACGGAAACUUAUAACUGCACAUGAA